GCACUGCUGUGGAGUCCCACAAUAGGACGAAACGGCCGUUUAGUGC
rnacentral:hammerhead_ribozyme from 1 species